UUAGAGAGAGGGCUACACCCAAUCCCAUUCCGAACUUGGAAGUUAAGCCUCUCAUCGCCGAUGGUAGUGUGCACAAGAGUACGCAAGAGUAGGACGCUGCCAGCUU
rnacentral:rRNA from 1 species